rnacentral:tRNA from 1 species
GCCCAUGUUGCUCAGUGGAUAGAGCAUCAGCCUGCAGACUGAAGGGUCCCGGGUUCGAUUCAGGUCAAGGGCA